rnacentral:rRNA from 1 species
CACGUAGGGCGCAAGCGUUGUCCGGAAUUAUUGGGCGUAAAGAGCUCGUAGGUGGUUUGUUACGUCCGCUGUGAAAUCCUAGGGCUUAACCCUGGGCUUGCAGUGGAUACGGGUAGACUAGAGGCAGGUAGGGGAGAAUGGAAUUCCCGGUGUAGCGGUGAAAUGCGUAGAUAUCGUGAGGAAGACCAGUGGCGAAGGCGGGUCUCUGGACAGUUCCUGACGCUGAGGCGCGAAGGCCAGGGGAGCAAACAGGG